AACGAACGCUGGCGGCAUGCCUAACACAUGCAAGUCGAACGAGACCUUCGGGUCUAGUGGCGCACGGGUGCGUAACGCGUGGGAAUCUGCCCUUGGGUUCGGAAUAACUUCGGGAAACUGAAGCUAAUACCGGAUGAUGACGUAAGUCCAAAGAUUUAUCGCCCAAGGAUGAGCCCGCGUAGGAUUAGCUAGUUGGUGAGGUAAAGGCUCACCAAGGCGACGAUCCUUAGCUGGUCUGAGAGGAUGAUCAGCCACACUGGGACUGAGACACGGCCCAGACUCCUACGGGAGGCAGCAGUGGGGAAUAUUGGACAAUGGGCGAAAGCCUGGUCCAGCUAUGCCGCGGGAGGGAUGAAGGCCUUAGGGUUGUAAAGCUCUUUUACCAGGGAUGAUAAUGACAGUACCGGGAGAAUAAGCGCCGGCUAACUCCGUGCCAGCAGCCGCGGUAA
rnacentral:rRNA from 1 species